CAUGUUGUUUCUGGAAUACAUCAUAUUCAUUUGCAGAAACCCUGUGUAUGGAUCUUUAACACUUUUCCCCCCUUUUUUUUUCCGAGGUACCUAGAAUAAUGGCUUUUUAAGACAGUAAUAAAGCCGUGUAACUUGUGGGGAAAAGCACACUGUGGCUCACAAUCUGAAUUAAACGUGUGUCAUUGGGGCUGAGGGGGAAAUUUUCUACCUUCAAGAAACCUGAUAUUUUGGACCAGAUCCCUGUCUGAACAGGUUGUAUGCUGCCCUUUUCAAAAUCAAGCUAUCAGAGGAUGCCCUUCAGCUGAAGUGUUAAGAGGACUUGGUGAGCUUAACAUGUUUCGCCUGCUUAAUUUAAUUUGGAAAAAUUCAACCAGAAAAUGAAGUUAUUAACAGAGAUCAGAGCAUGGCCAUGGAAUAACAACAGCUACAAACAUAUCUCUGUGUGCUGAGGCAGUUACCCACGAGAUGGUGUUCCCUGGAUAAUUGUGUUUGUAAAUAUAGAUGGAUACACAACACAGGCUGCUGCCUAGGAAAAUCAAGACUAACUGAACUGACUAAUUCUGAGUGCUUACCUCCUUUCAAUGCUUUUUUGGGAUGGGGAGUUUUAGUCUAAAGGAACAUGUUUAAGAACCAGUCUCUGCCCAGGCUGCUGAAGGCAGAAGAUGCCUGAGAGUGAAACAAAAAUGUUUUGAAGAGCAGGAUGGUACUCCCUGUCUCUUCUGCACUAACCACCAACAGCUGGAGAACAGGCUGCAAGAGGCAGGAGGACCACAUCUCAUGGACAUGUGAGCAAAGGCUUGAGGCUUAGCAAAGUUUCCAGGGAAAGGUACAGGAGUUUUGUUACCUUUGCUUGAUUGUACUUAAAUAUAAUAGAACUUCUACAGAUCUUUGCAAAAUAUGUAAGUUGCAGUCGGUGGACUUUCUAUUUCAGGUAAGUGUGGCAAUAUGUGGGGUUUUUUUUAGUUUAUGGCUAUUUUUAUGAAAUUUCUGAACAAUGCAGCUAAGCAGCAACAGGGGGAGGGCUUAGGUGGGAGGCGGAGAUAAGAAAAAUUGGGGGAAAGACAAAAGGAUGUGUGUAGGUGUCCAGGGAGUCUUCAGACUUUUGCACUGUGACUUCAAACCCUGGCAUCAGUGAGUUCUACCUAUUCCAGCAGCAGUUUUGGUCAGGGCAGCUGUAUAUGGGAGGAUGUCCCAUUGCAAUUUAUGAUUCCCAGUAGUGAUGGCACAGUGCCUGUACCUAUCUGGUUCCAGUUCAUAUGUGGUCAGAACAUGUUUGAUCUCCUUCAGAAGACAAGGAGCAUCCCACUGCCACCUUAAUGUCAUCCACUCUGGCAUCUGCUGACACAUCUGGUGGUGGCUGGUGUUGGAGACAUUACAGUGGACGUGUUGGGAAACCCAUCUGGCUCAGGAUGAGAGUUUUUCUGCUCCUCUGUGCUGCACAGCAUUGGGGGAUCUGGAAGUCCUUCAUGCUCUGACCUUUUGGAAGUUGAAAUUCUUGGUGCAGGGCUGUCACUGAAAAAACAGCACUUCCUGCUUAAAACUUUGUGAGGCAUAUUUUUAUUUUAAUUGUGUACUUAUAACCACUUGUUAAAAAUUGGGUAUUUUUAACUAUUACCUCAGACCAUUGUAUUUUAGUAUAAAACCCACCCUUUGUUUGUCUGUGAUACUCUUUUGCAGAACGUAGUUAUGUGGGGAUAGUGUUGACUAGUAAUUAUUUACUUGGUCAGACUGGUUAGUUUACCCUCAAACCAUGCAUUUUGUUUUAGCAGUGGCAUCUUAAAUAGUUAUUUAGAGAAGAAGAGCUGCAGGAGACAGAAACUUCACAGAGGAGGGGAAGAAAAAAAAAUCCAAAUAAAAAAAAAAAAAAAACACCAACCAACCCACCACACACAAGUUGGAAGGGCUUAGAAUAAAUUAUUGCAUGUCAUUCUGUGGGAAAAUCUCCCCGUACGGAUGCUGUGUUGUUCGCAAUGUGAGUGCCAGAUCCACUCAGCUCUGCUUUGCACUUCUGUCACCCUUAUCACUCAUGAGACAAUCCUCUUCUACUGUAAGUGCUACCCCCAGCGGCAUGUACUCAUUUAUAGGACUCGCAUGCUCGUGCUGAAGUCAGGCACCCAGGAGGCACAGGAUGAAUUGACAGUAUAGGCAGAUGCUUUCAGCAAAGGAACCAGGAUGUUAAAAGAGCUUCAGCGUGGUUAUUGUUUUGCCAGGCAAAUCCAUGUACUUGUCAUCAAGGUGUUCAGGAGUAUUUCAGCCUCGUCGUACAAGCUGAAUACAAGAGCUGUAAUCAAGAGUUACAUCAUUUGGUGAGACAAGACCUUGAGGAAUACAGCAAAGGGAAAUGUGCAUAAUUAGAACAGUUCAGUUACAAGGGAAAGGGGCUUUGAUAGUGUUAGAAAUGCAGCUGAAACAUGCAGCCUCCAUUGCCCUGUCAUCAGGCAUUAGAUGGUAGAUGUCAACGGGCCAGGGGGAUCUCAGGAUCCAAUGAAGGAGCCUGGGGUUCUCUCUUUCAACCUUUCCAACCCUCAGGAAAACAUCUAAGGUGACCAUCUGCUGAGCCACAAGGUCUCCUUCUCCGUUUGUGGGCAAGCACCAAACCAGAGAUUAAAAUAAGAGGCACUAACUGAAAAAUGAAAAAAUUAAAAAGCAGUUUGUUUUGAUAGCUUUUCUCAGAAAAGAAUGCUGAGAAAUAGGAGCAUGACCAAUUCCUCUGCCACCUCAAAAUUCCUGUAAGGGAAGAGGCUGACAUGAAGAGGGGCCAGACAUGGUGACAGGGAACACGUCGUAGGUCGUCAAAUGCCUCGGGGCCAAAGCACUUCCCAUGGUGAUUUCCACACUAACAAAGUUGCCAAAAUCCUUCCUAGAAAUUGCAGUUGGGGGAAUAAAAAAAAACAACAAAACAACUUUAGUGACACCCGUUCUAAGUAUGCAACAUCCAGCCUGCUUUAUUUAGAUUUUUCACAAAAUAUUUAUCACUGCCAUAGUGAUAUCUAUCCUAAAAAAAGAGACGAUGUUUCAAAGCAAUUUGACCUUCUCUAGACCCUAUCCAGAGACAUCUCUAUUCUUACACGUGUAUUAUUGGCAAAUGUUUUGAAUUUUUGAGUUUGUAGAGGAAAAUGUUUAACAUCUCAGGGAUUCUUGAGCCAUGGGAGACUGCUUUCCACCCACCACUGAGUAGGUUACCAGACAAUACUUAAUGUUUAGGUAUCAAAUAUUUUGUAACUAUCCCUGAAUAUUCAGUGAGUUAAUUAUGUUUCUUCUCUUUGCCUUUUCAUUAUUCUGUUUAAUGAAAGGCAAAUCUUGCUGGCGAGGCAGCGUGUCAGUGGGGCAUUUCCAAGGAACCCCUCUAAAGGAGUGCUGGAGGAAGGAUUUCAGCACUGAUGCUCUUCCAAGACAUCAGCACCAACUGGCAUCACUGGCAUUCAUCUUUUGGGUGAGACUAUGGCUGGAAUCCUCUCUCUCUCAAAUCAAACACUGCAGCAGGACCCUGCAGUCUGGAACGUCUCUUGACCCGUGUGCACAGAUGAUGAACAAUUUCUCCUUUCUGGGUUGGCUUCUUUGCCUCUUGGUGCAGAAGUUGUCCUGAAAGCAUGCCAGGAACCUAAGUCAUAGAGAAGUGCUCUGGCACUGGAGUGAGAACGACAUGCUUGAUGAAACAUGUCAAGCUACAUUAUAUUGUAGUCAACAAGGACUGCCUAAUCAAAAGGGCCUGCAAGCAGAAUUGGGUUGUUUCGUGAAGGCUGAGGUCCUUCAGCAGAAAUGUGACAUAGAUAGGAUGCAGUGGAUAGUCCUGUAAUCCUGUAAAUUCUCCUGUACAACAGGAGAAUUUAAAAUUCAAAUGUUCUCUGAAACUCUGAAACCAGAAGGAAACAAAAGGAGAAAUCCAACUACAGAGGAGAGGUGAAACAGGACAGGAAUUCUGUCUCAGCCAUGGGAAAUGUCCUUUCCAAGCACAUGAGGAAGUCUGUUUUGCAGCAGCAGGUUCUCUCCACAUGGAAUCUCUGUACUUUUAUGACAUGUACAGUUGGUUGUAAUGCCAUACUGGGUAUCAUGUAUAACAUCAAAGAGCUAAGUGAGUAUAAAGUGUAUCUGAGAAGUGCCCAUCUCUGAGGUGGACAGAUGCCAGUGGGGACAUCACGUACCGUGUAACAGAUUUCAGCUGGAGGCUCGGAAAUGUCGCAGGAUCCACAGAAUCCUUGAAGAACAGAGAGGACCUGAGCUUCUGAUGUGUCACUCAAAGGAGAGGCUGUACAUGACACAUAGAUCAUCCUCCAUUCUCUGCAAAGGAUGGGGUUUUAUAGCAGGGUAGAAUCAAAGCUGGGAGCUAAAAAUGUCAUCACCUGUUUGCUUCAAAAGUCAGGUGACAAUGGCGAAUGAUGCAGAGAAUUCCAGAAAAAGAAAAGAAGCAUGUGCUUUCAGGUGUGCAAAUGGCCCUUGAAGUGUGAGCAUACAGAACUUGACUCUAGCCCCAGUUUUCAAUAAUUUCUUUAUAAAAUAAUGGUAUAAAUCUCCUGGUGAACUUUUCUUGAUGCAGGUCUUGUCCAUUCCUGCAGAUACCAUCAAGAUUCUGAAAAUCUGCGGCACAGCGGAAUCUUUUGGGUUCUGUAAGCAAACUGUGCGUUCAGCCUGGAAGAAGGGCCCAAGCAGGCUGACCAAGAACUCUUCUCUUGGAGGAGUUUUUCCAGAUGGCCUUUCCAGCAACUGUUUCCCAUGGCAAUUCCAGCGAGGACUCGGACAUCUGCUUCCCAUCAGGGUGUGAAGUGUGAAGCAUCAGGUUUUUGUAGCUGUCCCACUAUUAAGUGAAGGCUGCCCUCCUCACCCUGGCCCGUGUCAAGGCCACUUCCCUGGGCUCUGCACACCUGAUCUGGGCACUGCUCUUUGCUGGCUGGGAUUGUGGAAAUGAGAGGUUUAGCAAUGGAAGGAUUGAGAGGAAAGCCAGCACUGGCUUCACAGACACAGGACUGCCAGGGGGUUGGGCAGAGCUGUGAGCACCUCACAUUCAGAUGGGCCCAUACCACAAGUUUGGGAUCCAGAUUUGGAUUUGGACCUGACGUUUAUCAGAGUUUGGGAACAGCUGAACCCAGCAUCUGAGGUCAGGCUCUGGAGGAAUUAACAGCCUGCUGCAAAGACCUGGAUGGAGUGGAACUGCCCCACAUUUCAAGGCAUAGGUGUGGAAAAUACAAGGACUUGGUUUGACCUGUCUCUAAGGUAUUUCAAUUUUAAAAUGAAAGACUUUUAGUGAAGUGGGAGGCUGUGAUUAUUGUUGUGCCUGAAGGAUGAAAUUGCAUAUGGGGAUCCGAUUGACUGAGUGCUGUUGGAGAUUGUAACAAGAGACAGGAACUGCCUAAAAUGGUUUCAAGCUUAAAUACUUGUCCAAGGUCAAUAGGAGUAUCUGUGAGAAAGUAUUGAGAUCCCUGAUUUAUUAUCCAGUACUUUCACCACAAAAGGGUUGUCUCAGUGUAAUUCUUGACUUGUUCUAGAAGAGGAUAAAACACCUUAAUAACACCAUACACCUAGGUGCAGAAAGAGACAUAGGUGCAAAUGCUUCGAGUUCCUCUUCAGGCUACAAAUCCCUCAUAUUACCAAGAUUAAUGGCUUCUAAUCCGUUUUUAAAUGUUCCAUGUGGAUAGUGAAGGCGUAACUAUCAAAACACUGUAAAAUCAUAAUGUCUGUGUAGCUAUAAAUUACUGUUUUCAAAAUGAGCUGGAGGUCUCCAACUUAUUCCUAAGUGCAAAUUCUUAGAUGGUAUAAAAUUGCUCCAAAAGAUGACUAGGAGCAAGUUUUCUGGCUUUUGCCAAAGAGAAGCCAAUUAUGGGUCUACCUACUAGCUCUAUAGCAGUGUCUGUCUUGGUGACACUGAAAUUGUCCUAAACAGUAUAAAUUGGAUAGAUCAAAAUAAUUUCAGAUCAUUCUGAGAUUGAUUGAAAGGCAUGAGGCUUUUUGCAUAUUUCUUUGAUAUGUUUUGUGCUUUCCAUUUGUCAAGUUCUGAACUACUUUGUAUGAGACUGAUGAUGAAUUCAACUCAUGUUAAAGUAUGAGUUCCAUGACAGAUUGUUUUAAAAAAAAAGUUAUAUUGGCUUAGAGUAUUUUCUUAAGUGGAAUUAAUACAUGGCAUUCCAGAAAACAGGUAAAAGAGAACUUUCAACUCAUUAUUAUUUGAUUUAAACACAUAUGCAAUUAUUACUUCUAAAGAAAAUAAAAAAACCCCAUGAUUUAAAAGAUCAUUAGGAUAGUCUUUUGUGGGGCACAGAAAAAACCUUUACAGAUGUUAUAGGCUCUUUGGGGUUAUGCUUAAAUAAAAAUUUGGAGAAGUGCCUCAUUUGAAUUUAUACUCCCUUUGUGGUCCAUCAAAAAGGAUUCAUCUCUUAUUCAAAUGACGAGUCAAUAUGUUAGUCAGAUCAAAUACCAUUAAUAAGAUGCUAAAAAUGCUUCUGAGGAACAGGGGGAUUUCUUUAACAAGCCAUAAAGUGCUUUUUAAUCCAUUUUUGACUUGUUAAAUUCUUUGUGAUUCUCACAACUGUUCCAUCGUGACGCAGUUUCAAUCCUUUGUGCAGAUGGAAAAAAUCAAGGUGUAAAUCAAGGGCAGUGCACGCAUAUUGCUUUCCCCUCCAACAUUUCCCAAAACCACUGUGGUCCUCCUUGUGCUUUUCUAUCUCCUGUCUAUUUAAGACACUGCUGCUGGUCAGUGUUUUGGGUGGAUAAAGCUGUAUUUGAUGAGAUUGCCAAAUCACAGACCCCAAAAUUUGCUAAAGACACAAAACAACAUAAAAGAAUGAAACUCUGUCUCUUCCUUAGGACAGAGGUAGGAGACUUUGAAGAGAAGAGAUGCUCCUGGUGUGCUGAGAGAAGGAAAACCUGGAUUCUCAGCUUUGCCAUCAGUGCUCUGCUCUGCAGAGCCAUUUGCUGAGUUUUCUGUCUGUGGAAGGUGGCCCAGUAUUGCAGUUUUGCUGCAGACACAGCUGCACGGGGCCCAGGGACGUAGGAGUUCUCCAGAUAUAUCUCUCUAUCAGUGGCAAGAAAUGCUGAGUAGAUGCAGAUAUUAUGAAGAGGCUGAUGAGGGGGUGCUUUUUUUGCAUAUCUUCCUGGUCACAUCAGUAGAGAAAUAUUCUCCUUAGCUCUGAGUUCAAAGAAUGAUCCUUAACGUUCAUCUGAUGCCCAGGAUAUAUUUUCCAACAGCUUGUUUUACUUCUAUUUUGCUUAUAUUUUCCUCAGCCUGUUUUGUUUCAGUUGAAGGUUCAUACCAUUCCCUUUUUUUUUUUUUUUUCCUUUAGCUGAACAUGUUAAAGUUUUGGGAUGUGAACUACAAUCAGAAACUAAAAAGCUGCUUAAAAGAAAAAAGUAAAAGUGGUUUUUUGAUAAGCAUUUUAUUUUUCCUGACUUUUCUCACCUCUGAAGAGAUCAGAAUAAGUCAAAAUUCAAAAUUCACUAACAAAUCUUUGUAGAUUACCCUGAAAAUGGCUUAUGAAAAAAUGGGUCAUGACUUCUUUUAUUUGCUGAAAGCAAAUAUGACCAUCUGAUGGUCAAUAUGACCAUAUGACCAAUGCAUCUGACCAUCCCUAUAAUUUCUGACUGAAUUUGUGGCUGAUGACAAAGAGCAUUGUGACAAGUUUAUCUCUAAAUUUUGCGUGGAACAGGGGGCACCAGCCCACAAUGUACUUUAUUCUAUAAAUGUAAAUUAGUUCAUUCAUUAAAAUAAAUUUUUCAGGAUUAGGUCUGUGACUAUCAACUAUUUGGGAUGGGGAAAAUAAAUAGCAAUAUUUAAUAAACACACAGUGCACUAAGAUUGUAUUUAUUAGACUUCUGACAUUUUUAUAAAGAAGUCUUUGGAGCUGGGGCAACAACUGGUGCAGGUAAAUUUCCUACAUUGUGAAAAGAUCUGGUAUUUAGUUUAUGGGAAGCAGGCCUGAGCAGAUGUGAAAAGUUCAAAUAAAGGAAGGCCAGAUAAAACGCACUUUUGUGUCUGGAAAAUCAAAACAGAUGUUAUUAUUCAACCACAAAAAAAUCUAUUUGCACUUAAGUAGCAUUAGGUGUCUGACUAGUUCCAUUUCUUUUUUUUAGUGAAAACAACAAAAUGAUUAUAAAAUUAUAUAGGCUGAUAAAGUGCCUUAAAAUGUUACCAAUGGACUGAAUUGUUAGCUAAUAGCAAAAACCAGAGCAGAUCUUACAAGACCAAUAGAAACAUGAGUAAAUCUGUUUUUGAAGGGAAAAUUAAGGAAGAAGCAGCAAACUUGAAUGGACUCUCCUCUCUGAACCCCUGAUGUACAUCAGAGAAAUGGUGAUUUAAGAUGGGUGGAUUUUACACUGCCCAUAAUAUUUUCUGGAGGCCUGCCCAUAUGGAAAGGUUGAUGCUGGCAGAGGAUGACAGGUGCUGGAGAUCCUCAGGAGCCCUUGACAACAAGAAAACACUUGCAGAGUGUGAAUGUUGCCAAAUAGUCUUGCAAAUUAUUUCUGAUUAAAAGAAAAUUCAAUUUGGUUUCAGAAAUGUACGUGUCAAAGGGACACCUAAAAUAGUAUAGGAGAACCAAAAUGGGUAUUUCUGUCUGUGAAAACCUGCUCAUGUGGGCAACAGAAAUAAUAUUUUUUUCUGGAAAGCUGAUCUGAUUUGUAGAGACUUUGUUGGCCUGACACGUUUCUGCUCUUGCUUGCUGGGACUCAGAGGUAAAUUAAGAGUAGGUCCUGUUGGCUUGCUGGAGUUGGUAAAACUUGUCAGUAAAUUUGGGACUUGCAGGCUGCUGCUUCCCUCUUCAAUGGGAAAUGGAGUCUAAGACAUUUCUACCCCAAGAGUGGCAAAAGAGAGGACAGAGCUGCAUUUUGUUGCAGUUGUUUGAGUUGCUGCAGGAGCACUGAGGGUUUGCAUGGUUGGGAGGACGUUGUGUAACAACAGAGCUUUUUUUGUUUACACUGUUAUUCAAUGUUUGGUCGUUGCUCCUCCUCUUCCCUGUCUUCAGCACCACCAGCUCUGAUUCCCAUUAACCUCCUGUCUCACGUCCAGGCCACCCUUCCAGUUCUGAUUCUUUUCCUAAGGUGGAGCUGCCCUGCAGUGGGAGAUGGAGACUUGAGAUGUCCUGGACAUGAGGUCUCUCCCCAACCCUCCUUUGUUUCCUGUCACAUUUAGGGGGAAAAUUCACACAGAUCUGCUCUGAAGAACUGGAUUUCCAAUGCAGAGAUGAGUGGUAAAACCAAGGCUUGGCUAUCCCACCUCAUUUUUAGGGUUAGGGGCCUUGUUCAGUGAACCUGUAGCUCAUUUAUUCUCUGCCUGAAUGUUCCUAGAGCCCAUUAUUGCUCUGCAGUCUCCUCUCUCACAUUAAAAUUAUGGGGACCUACCUCUUAUUUUAAUUAAAGAUUAUUGCCACUGAUUUGGGCUCUUCCCAGGUCUUAGAGCUCUGUGGUUAGUAGUCAUCAGUGAUAAUUCCUCUCAAUAUCUGGGAUUUUAGGAAAAAAAGCUUUGUAUCUAGGUCACAUGGGUCUUCUGCACUUUUCCUUUAUUUAAAAAUGAAGAGGUGCCAGAGGCCACACCUUGUGGAGAGGUGAGUGCUUAGCCAUGAUUCAUAUGUUUAUGAACCUGUUGUUCUUGGGAAGAGUUCAAAACUGAAAAAAAACCCCACUCAAAAGUGAAAAAAACCCACUCAAAACAUGAUUAAAUAUUAAUUCUAAAGGUGAAUGCCUGGUUGGCUUUCAGGCAAUGUCAGGUUCCUACAGUUGAAAAUCAAAAGGUUUUUAAAGAUCUGAAAUUCCUAUUAAAAUCUGUGGUUUAGCAGCCUAAAUCCAAUUGAAAUGCAGUGUAAUUAAGACUUCCAAGGCACUUGAGGUUUGUUUCUAAGAAAUUAUGACCUGUAGGCAACUUGCAGCAUUUUCAAGGGACUAUGUAAUUUUAAAACUAUGAAUACUGGUCAUUUCUGUCAGGGACCUUAGAAAACCUCUGUAAAAAUGCAUAUUCCUUAACAAAAAACUUAUUUUUUGUGGUACCAACACCCAGCUAACACAGCUUCUCACUUGAACAGGUCCCUCAUAGUUUCACAGAGAUUGUUGUUGAGCUAUUCCUGUGAAGGUGGAAAAAAUAUUAUGUGAGAAAAGGCGGUGGAAUCAUUUGUCUUUGACUUCUUUCCUCAUGGAGAUGCUAAGUAUCCCACUGAUGCAAAAGGGUCGGAGAGAGCAAAAUGUGCAAAUAAUUUAAUAAAAAGAAUUGUAAGACAGAAACUCACCAGAGUAAGGACAAUAGAGUAGAAAAUGCCAUAAAAGAUAAUAGGCUUAGAUGAAUUGGCAUGUGUUAGCGAUUAUGCAAUCACUCAUUUCCCACAGAUUUCUUUUUAUAGGAAACCUUGGAAAAUCCCUGAAGAACUGACCGAGUCAUUUAACCACAACAGGUUUCUUUUCAACAUGGCUGGGAGUGGGCGAGGAAUAUUUUCACAUAUUUGUGCACUGCUGGCUUGUUUGGAAGGGCUGGAAGCAGCAGAGGACGACGGAGGACGGUGACUCAGCCCCGCGGCGAGCGGGGCCUCCUGCCACCCUCCACAUGGGGACCAGCCAGCCCAGAUCCAAGUGGGAACAAUCUCAUGUGAUCAGGAGCUUUGAGGUUUGGUCCGUGGCUGAUGAGAUAGGUGCUGUAGAGGCUGAGGAGAGGGGUUUUUGCUCCCAGAUCCGGGUUGGAUGUGAAUCCCUCUGGCUCGCAGGGAGCAGCUGAGCUCUCCUCAGUCACUGGCAGAAGCAGUCCUUUGCUUCCUUGCUGUCACAGGCUGUUUAAAUACUUGUGUUUCUGACAGCAAUUUUCCUUCACCACUGGGCUAAGGAAAACAAGACCUUGAGCUGCACUUCUGAGUUUCUUAAAGAUUUGUUUUUCUCCUUUCUUUCUUUUUUUUUCUAUUUUUUCUUUUCAAACAGGCUGUUUUCCUUGCAUUCUUCAGAGCAGCUUCUCACAGCCUCAAAAUGUCCCUGCUGCUUCGAGAUGUGUCACUGGUGGAGUCACCCUUCACCCUUGCUCCAAUCCCAGCCCCCUCGUGUGUGUGACGUCUCUCUCAGAUUCUCUUUCUGCUGAAGCCUCCUGGUGCUGGACCCGAUGAUCCUGGAGAGUCCUUUCCAAUUUGGGAUGCUCCAUGACUCCACCAUUUGCUCUGCUCAGCCCAGUGGAACAAACAUGCCCAAGCCACAAUGGUGAAGGGAGGAAAUGAACAAGUUUGUAGAGUUUCAUGGAGA